rfam:Haemonchus contortus, ISE/inbred ISE, WGS project CAVP01000000 data, contig: Hcontortus_41996
AGCACAAAAUUCGAAGUAGGGUAGAUUAGUAUGAUCAGCUGAUCCUACUGAUCUACUCUACUUCAAGUUUGUGCCC